AGCCAUUCCACAUAGACUUAAAGAAAUGAUAAUAAAAACAUAGGAAAUUCUCUUAAAGCAGUUGUAAAUAAAAUUGUAACUUCCUAUCUCAAGUCAUACCCUCACAGUCAACCUACAUGGUAAAGGUUGCAGAGUGUAGACCAACCAUAAUGCUAAAAUUAGUGAAACAAUUAUUGAAAAGUUAACUACUCACUAAUUACAACAUAAAAGAACAAUUCCAUUGGUAUAUCUAAAGCAAUAGUUUAAACUUAAACCAUACCCCAAGAACAAUGACAGAUGUUGU
rnacentral:misc_RNA from 1 species